AGAGUUUGAUCCUGGCUCAGGACGAACGUUGGCGGCGUGCUUAACACAUGCAAGUCGAGCGGUUCUCGGAGUUUACUUCGAGGAUAGCGGCGGACGGGUGAGUAACGCGGGGAUCGAACGUUGGCGGCGCGCUUAACACAUGCGAGUCGAGCGGUUCUCGGAGUUUACUUCGAGGAUAGCGGCGGACGGGUGAGUAACGCGUGGAUAAUCUGCCUGUAAGACAGGGAUAACGCCGGGAAACCGGUGCUAAUACCGGAUAACCUCUUUGGAUCGCAUGGUCUAAAGAGAAAGUAGGUGGACCACUAAUAGAUGGGCCCGCGUCUGAUUAGCUAGUUGGCGAGGUAACGGCCCACCAAGGCAACGAUGAGUAGCCGACCUGAGAGGGUGAUCGGCCACACUGGAACUGAGAUACGGUCCAGACUCCUACGGGAGGCAGCAGUAGGGAAUUUUCGGCAAUGGACGCAAGUCUGACCCAGCAACGCCGCGUGUAUGAAGAAGGUCUUCGGGUUGUAAAGCCCUGUCUUCAGGGACGAAACUAAUGACGGUACCUAAGGAGGAAGCCCCGGCUAACUACGUGCCAGCAGCCGCGGUAAUACGUAGGGGGCAAGCGUUGUCCGGAAUUAUUGGGCGUAAAGGGCGCGUAGGCGGAUCUUUAAGUCUGGUGUGAAAGAUCAGGGCUCAACCCUGAGAGUGCAUCGGAAACUGGGGAUCUUGAGGACAGGAGAGGAAAGUGGAAUUCCUAGUGUAGCGGUGAAAUGCGUAGAUAUGUGGAGGAACACCAGUGGCGAAGGCGACUUCCUGGCCUGUAACUGACACUGAGGCGCGAAAGCGUGGGGAUCAAACAGGAUUAGAUACCCUGGUAGUCCACGCCGUAAACGAUGAGUGCUAGGUGUCGGGGGUAUCGACCCCCUCGGUGCCACAGCUAACGCAAUAAGCACUCCGCCUGGGGAGUACGGUCGCAAGACUGAAACUCAAAGGAAUUGACGGGGGCCCGCACAAGCGGUGGAGUAUGUGGUUUAAUUCGACGCAACGCGAAGAACCUUACCAAGGCUUGACAUCCUGUGACAGCCAUAGAAAUAUGGACUUCUUAGUUUACUAAGACACAGAGACAGGUGGUGCAUGGUAGGGCAGCUCGUGUCGUGAGAUGUUGGGUUAAGUCCCGCAACGAGCGCAACCCCUACAGCCAGUUGCCAGCACAUAAUGGUGGGAACUCUGGCAGAACUGCCGUUGACAAAACGGAGGAAGGUGGGGAUGACGUCAAAUCAUCAUGCCCCUUAUGUCUUGGGCUACACACGUACUACAAUGGCCUGAACAGAGGGCAGCGACGCCGCGAAGGUAAGCGAAUCCCUUUAGAACAGGUCCCAGUUCGGAUUGUAGGUUGCGACUCGCCUACACGAAGUUGGAAUCGCUAGUAAUCGCAGGUCAGCAUACUGCGGUGAAUACGUUCCCGGGCCUUGUACACACCGCCCGU
rnacentral:rRNA from 1 species